GCUUUCUUAGCACAGUCAGUAGUAUGUCAGUCUCCUAAACUAAAGGUUCUGAAUUUGAGUUUCAGAGGGGGCA
rnacentral:tRNA from 1 species